AUGCUGUAAGUCAGUCGAGUGUAUUUAACGUAUCCGUGUUUCUCUGCUUGCAUGAAAUUAAAUGUCAUGUUUUCACCUCCUGCAGGUUUUCUAUUGACUGUGGACGAUACUCAGACUCUCUCAGGCCCUGUGUGCGUCACAUUUCCUCAUUUAUGUCUGUUUAAGCUCUAAUUCACACGCACUGAGGUCACACGCUCGGUUUGGAGCAUAAAAGAGCAGCAGGACGACCAACACGAGCCACACACACUCCUGAAGGCUGCUGGGAGAGGCACGGGAGGGUGUCUCUGUCUGGACCCGCUUCGCCGUGGGUCUUCAGUCCAGCAUUGCACAACAGCGGCAGCAGAUUUGGAGGGCGUUUGGCUCGGCUCAUCGGCUCUGAACGAGCGGCACCGCGGUGGCUCUGAUUGGCUGCCCGGAUACAUAAACAUCCAUUGAGCGUGCCUUCAGGUGACGGAGAGGUUUAAGACUUGAUGGCGUCCUGUCCUCCGCCCUGAAGCUCGCCGUCUCUCCGAGCUGCAGCACCGGACGAAUGAAAUUCAGUGUUAACGACCUGUGAUGAACUUUGUUUAGCAGCGACCCGAUCGGUGACCCUUUACACUCCAGCUCCGCGGCACGUUAGAUGCCACUUAGAAGGCCGCUGACCAGAAUGACCCUCGGUGCGGACGCACACCUCCAGAACACACCAUCUGACGCCCGCGCAGAGGGGGACUCAGGAUGAAGCCCAAAGCAUUUUUCUACGGAUUUAGAAGCCCCGACACUUCAAGUCAGUGAAGUUCUAAUCUAAGAGUUUAACUGUUCAAUUAUCAUUUAAUGACGAUGGUUAAUUCCCCUAUAAAAUGUCACCAUAAUAAUAAUAAUGAUAACGAAAGUUCUGAACUGUUUGGAUUUUGUCUAGUAAUAAAGGUAAAGAUCAAUCUGUAAGUUUGGAUGAUUUACAUCCAAAUAAUCAAAGUUAGUUUCUAAUUAUAGUGGGAAAAAGAAAGAAAUCAUUAUCCAGUGAAUCAGUGUAACAACAAUAAUAAUAAUCAUACUGUAGUAACAGUUUUGGGUUUUUUCAUGUUUCUUGUUCAGUUUAUGAGAUCAUCACUUCUCGUUUGUUGGUUUCACUUUUGCGGCUCUUUGAUGUUUUUAAUUUGGCCGAUCAUUCGAUCUGAGCUCCAGAUUG